UCUCCGUUGGUGAACCAGCGGAGGGAUCAUUACCGAGUUUACAACUCCCAAACCCAAUGUGAACCAUACCAAACUGUUACCUCGGCGGGGUCACGCCCCGGGUGCGUCGCAGCCCCGGAACCAGGCGCCCGCCGGAGGGACCAACCAAACUCUUUCUGUAGUCCCCUCGCGGACGUUAUUUUUACAGCUCUGAGCAAAAAUUCAAAAUGAAUCAAAACUUUCAACAACGGAUCUCUUGGUUCUG
rnacentral:misc_RNA from 1 species